CUACGGGAGGCUGCAGUGAGGAAUAUUGCGCAAUGGGGGAAACCCUGACGCAGCGACGCCGCGUGGGUGAUGAAGGCCUUCGGGUUGUAAAGCCCUGUUAGAGGGGAAGAAAGGGUAUAUGGUUAAUACCCAUAUACAUUGACGGUACCCUCAGAGGAAGCACCGGCUAACUCCGUGCCAGCAGCCGCGGUAAUACGGAGGGUGCGAGUGUUAUUCGGAUUUACUGGGCGUAAAGAGCACGUAGGCGGAUGGGUAAGUCAGAUGUGAAAGCCCGGAGCUCAACUCCGGAAUUGCAUUUGAUACUAUCUGUCUUGAGUAUGGUAGAGGGGGGUGGAAUUCCCGGUGUAGAGGUGAAAUUCGUAGAUAUCGGGAGGAACACCAGAGGCGAAGGCGACCCCCUGGGCCAUAACUGACGCUGAGGUGCGAAAGCGUGGGGAGCAAACAGGAUUAGAUACCCCAGUAGUC
rnacentral:rRNA from 1 species